GGGAGUUUUAGAGAAAUGCACUCCUGUGGUUCUCAGCUGCAGGAAGGCCAUGAACCAGUUCCAUGUGGGUGACUUUCC